rnacentral:rRNA from 1 species
AGAGUUUGAUCAUGGCUCAGGAUGAACGCUGGCGGCGUGCUUAACACAUGCAAGUCGAACGAACCUUCGGGUUAGUGGCGGACGGGUGAGUAACGCGUGGGAAUCUGCCCUCAGGAGGGGGAUAACGGCUGGAAACGGCCGCUAAUACCCCAUAUGCCGAGAGGUGAAAUGAAUUUCGCCUGAGGAUGAGCCCGCGUCUGAUUAGCUAGUUGGUGAGGUAAGAGCUCACCAAGGCAUCGAUCAGUAGCUGGUCUGAGAGGAUGAUCAGCCACACUGGGACUGAGACACGGCCCAGACUCCUACGGGAGGCAGCAGUGGGGAAUUUUCCGCAAUGGGCGAAAGCCUGACGGAGCAACGCCGCGUGAGGGAUGAAGGCCUCUGGGCUGUAAACCUCUUUUCUCAAGGAAGAAGAUCUGACGGUACUUGAGGAAUAAGCCACGGCUAAUUCCGUGCCAGCAGCCGCGGUAAUACGGGAGUGGCAAGCGUUAUCCGGAAUUAUUGGGCGUAAAGCGUCCGCAGGCGGCCCUUCAAGUCUGCUGUUAAAACGUGGAGCUUAACUCCAUCAUGGCAGUGGAAACUGUUGGGCUUGAGUGUGGUAGGGGCAGAGGGAAUUCCCGGUGUAGCGGUGAAAUGCGUAGAUAUCGGGAAGAACACCAGUGGCGAAGGCGCUCUGCUGGGCCAUAACUGACGCUCAUGGACGAAAGCCAGGGGAGCGAAAGGGAUUAGAUACCCCUGUAGUCCUGGCCGUAAACGAUGAACACUAGGUGUCGGGGGAAUCGACCCCCUCGGUGUCGUAGCCAACGCGUUAAGUGUUCCGCCUGGGGAGUACGCACGCAAGUGUGAAACUCAAAGGAAUUGACGGGGGCCCGCACAAGCGGUGGAGUAUGUGGUUUAAUUCGAUGCAACGCGAAGAACCUUACCAGGGUUUGACAUCCUGCGAAUCUCUUGGAAACGAGAGAGUGCCUUCGGGAACGCAGUGACAGGUGGUGCAUGGCUGUCGUCAGCUCGUGUCGUGAGAUGUUGGGUUAAGUCCCGCAACGAGCGCAACCCACGUCUUUAGUUGCCAGCAUUUAGUUGGGCACUCUAGAGAGACCGCCGGUGAUAAACCGGAGGAAGGUGUGGAUGACGUCAAGUCAUCAUGCCCCUUACAUCCUGGGCUACACACGUACUACAAUGCUACGGACAAAGAGCAGCAAGUUCGCGAGGACAAGCAAAUCUCAUAAACCGUGGCUCAGUUCAGAUCGUAGGCUGCAACUCGCCUACGUGAAGGAGGAAUCGCUAGUAAUCGCAGGUCAGCAUACUGCGGUGAAUACGUUCCCGGGCCUUGUACACACCGCCCGUCACACCAUGGAAGUUGGCCACGCCCGAAGCCGUUACUCCAACCCUUGUGGAGGAGGACGUCGAAGGUGGGGCUGAUGACUGGGGUGAAGUCAUAACAAGGUAACCGUA